rnacentral:rRNA from 1 species
GACGAACGCUGGCGGCGUGCUUAACACAUGCCAGUCGAACGGAAAGGCCUCUUUCGGGGGGUACUCGAGUGGCGAACGGGUGAGUAACACGUGAGUAACCUGCCCUUGACUUUGGGAUAACUUCAGGAGACUGGGGCUAAUACCGGAUAGGCGCUCCUGCUGCAUGGUGGGGGUUGGAAAGUUUCGGCGGUUGGGGAUGGACUCGCGGCUUAUCAGCUUGUUGGUGGGGUAGUGGCUUACCAAGGCUUUGACGGGUAGCCGGCCUGGGAGGGUGACCGGCCACAUUGGGACUGAGAUACGGCCCAGACUCCUACGGGAGGCAGCAGUGGGGAAUAUUGCACAAGGGGUGGAAGCCUGAUGCAGCAACGCCGUGUGCGGGAUGACGGCCUUCGGGUUGUAAACCGCUUUCGCUCAUGACGAAGCUUUGUGUGACGGUAGUGGGUAAAGAAGCACCGGCUAACUACGUG